rnacentral:rRNA from 1 species
GACGAACGCUGGCGGCGUGCCUAAUACAUGCAAGUCGAACGCUUCUUUCCUCCCGAGUGCUUGCACUCAAUUGGAAAGAGGAGUGGCGGACGGGUGAGUAACACGUGGGUAACCUACCCAUCAGAGGGGGAUAACACUUGGAAACAGGUGCUAAUACCGCAUAACAGUUUAUGCCGCAUGGCAUAAGAGUGAAAGGCGCUUUCGGGUGUCGCUGAUGGAUGGACCCGCGGCGCAUUAGCUAGUUGGUGAGGUAACGGCUCACCAAGGCCACGAUGCAUAGCCGAACUGAGAGGGUGAUCGGCCACACUGGGACUGAGACACGGCCCAGACUCCUACGGGAGGCAGCAGUAGGGAAUCUUCGGCAAUGGACGAAAGUCUGACCGAGCAACGCCGCGUGAGUGAAGAAGGUUUUCGGAUCGUAAAACUCUGUUGUUAGAGAAGAACAAGGACGUUAGUAACUGAACGUCGCCUGACGGUAUCUAACCAGAAAGCCACGGCUAACUACGUG